AGUUUGAAACUUUAUCGAUGUCAAGAACAUUUAGCUUGUUCAGAAGAGCUAAAACUUGUACAGCACUAAGGGUGUACAGAACAUGAGGGUCAUGUCCAAUGUUACCAGCAAACCCACCAGAUUCAUGUUGGCAUUGCAUGAUCCAUUCAGUUACUUCUUCUGAAUCAACUACAUCAAGCUUUCCUAAAAGAUCUAUACAGGUCAAUCCCCAGUAUGCUCCACUCAUUGUCAAGUGCUCCAUCACCAAAGAUUCAAAACUAUCCUUCCUCUUUCGAACUGAUAAAAUGUAUUCAACAUGGUUAUCAACUGCUAAUUCCCCCAUCUUCAGCUGCCGUGAGCCGCCAAACAGAGAAGUCGAGUGAAGUGAGACCUAGUGAUAGGAGAAUAGGAGUCAAUAAGAUCAGAAGAGGAGGAUGAGGAUGAUGGGCGGCGAAAAAGAGAGGAAGAGGACCGGCUCAGGGGUGUUUGGUGUAUC
rnacentral:misc_RNA from 1 species